CAACCUCCAGGGUGGAAAUGCUGAAUUCUGCUUAACAGAAUCUAAUUAAUAAAAUGUAAGCUUCAUUUUAGCAAGGGAGAAGCGGUAGAAGAGAAGAUGUCUAAUAAAACUUUUGGAGCUCCAGAGAAUGAUGAAAAAGACUAUGAAUCCAAUUGCAUGGGCUUCUCAGAUUAGACCAGAGUUGCCUCUUUGCAUCAGAAGCAAUCUGUUAAGAAAUUCCUACUGCUUUCCCUGAG